CUACCGCUUUUGGAUGGGCCCGCGCGCAUUAGCUAGUUGGUGGGGUAAAGGCUUACCAAGGCAAUGAUGCGUAGCCGAAUGAGAGGUUGAUCGGCCACAUUGGGACUGAGACACGGCCCAAACUCCUACGGGAGGCAGCAG
rnacentral:rRNA from 1 species